rnacentral:sRNA from 1 species
ACUUUUCUCGCGCUGGUCUCUUCGGUGCUGAGGGAUGGCGCGGAAGUCGAACUUGCCUGUGCGUCUCGUGCCGUUUCUGCUCUGCCAGGCCCUAGUGCGCUGCUCCAGCCCUCUGCCCCUGGUCGUCAACACUUGGCCUUUUAAGAAUGCAACCGAAGCAGCGUGGAGGGCAUUAGCAUCUGGAGGCUCUGCCCUGGAUGCAGUGGAGAGCGGCUGUGCCAUGUGUGAGAGAGAGCAGUGUGACGGCUCUGUAGGCUUUGGAGGAAGUCCUGAUGAGCUUGGAGAAACCACACUAGAUGCCAUGAUCAUGGAUGGGUAAGAACACCGUUCAGGUCCUGUUUAUUAUGUUGAGUUACAUUUAGAGUUGUGGUCUUCUGAGAGCAAGAUGAAAGAAUGCAUGAGUUUUGUCACAGAUCAAAACCCCUAGCUUAUUAUACUUGACCUUUCUAAACACAGUUUCCCUCUCAACUGAAAAAAAAAAAAAAAUCAGAGUAAUAGAAAUAUCACAUGGAGAGAUAGGUAGUCCCUUAGAACUGGGAGAAUGCCAAGC